UACAGAGGUCCCAAGCGUUGUUCGGAUUUACUGGGCGUAAAGGGCGCGUAGGCGGUUCGCUAAGUCGGAUGUGAAAACUCUGGGCUCAACCCAGAGCCUGCAUCCGAAACUGGCGGGCUAGAGUUCUGGAGGGGGGUAGCGGAAUUCCUGGUGUAGCGGUGAAAUGCGUAGAUAUCAGGAGGAACACCGGUGGCGAAGGCGGCUACCUGGACGGUGACUGACGCUGAGACGCGAAAGCGUGGGGAGCGAACAGG
rnacentral:rRNA from 1 species